AGAGUUUGAUCCUGGCUCAGGACGAACGCUGGCGGCGUGCCUAAUACAUGCAAGUAGAACGCUGAAGAGAGGAGCUUGCUCUUCUUGGAUGAGUUGCGAACGGGUGAGUAACGCGUAGGUAACCUGCCUUGUAGCGGGGGAUAACUAUUGGAAACGAUAGCUAAUACCGCAUAACAAUGGGUGACUCAUGUCAUUUAUUUGAAAGGGGCAAAUGCUCCACUACAAGAUGGACCUGCGUUGUAUUAGCUAGUAGGUGAGGUAACGGCUCACCUAGGCGACGAUACAUAGCCGACCUGAGAGGGUGAUCGGCCACACUGGGACUGAGACACGGCCCAGACUCCUACGGGAGGCAGCAGUAGGGAAUCUUCGGCAAUGGGGGCAACCCUGACCGAGCAACGCCGCGUGAGUGAAGAAGGUUUUCGGAUCGUAAAGCUCUGUUGUAAGUCAAGAACGAGUGUGAGAGUGGAAAGUUCACACUGUGACGGUAGCUUACCAGAAAGGGACGGCUAACUACGUGCCAGCAGCCGCGGUAAUACGUAGGUCCCGAGCGUUGUCCGGAUUUAUUGGGCGUAAAGCGAGCGCAGGCGGUUAGAUAAGUCUGAAGUUAAAGGCUGUGGCUUAACCAUAGUACGCUUUGGAAACUGUUUAACUUGAGUGCAGAAGGGGAGAGUGGAAUUCCAUGUGUAGCGGUGAAAUGCGUAGAUAUAUGGAGGAACACCGGUGGCGAAAGCGGCUCUCUGGUCUGUAACUGACGCUGAGGCUCGAAAGCGUGGGGAGCGAACAGGAUUAGAUACCCUGGUAGUCCACGCCGUAAACGAUGAGUGCUAGGUGUUGGAUCCUUUCCGGGAUUCAGUGCCGCAGCUAACGCAUUAAGCACUCCGCCUGGGGAGUACGACCGCAAGGUUGAAACUCAAAGGAAUUGACGGGGGCCCGCAC
rnacentral:rRNA from 1 species